AAUUUCAGGUAAUCGCGGUCAAUUAUUUGACUGAGGAAAGUCCAUGCUCGCACAAGCUGCAAUGCUUGUAGUGUUCGUGCUUAGCGAAACAAUAAGCUAAGGUAGCCUUCGGGCUAACGGCGGAAGAAAUUUCUAAGGUCUUUAAAUGACUAUGAAUAAGUAUUCUGUAACGUGCCACAGUGACGAUACUUUAUGGAAACAUAAAGGUGGAACGCGGUAAACCCCUCGAGCGAGCAACCCAAAUUUGGUAGGGGCACUCUUUAGAAGGAAUGAAUUGUUGAAAGAAACAAUUAACAGACAAAGAGACAAGAUCACUUGUAGAUAGAUGAUUACCCCUUGAUAAAACGUACCUAUCAUUUUAUCAAGGACAGAACAUGGCUUAUCGAA
rnacentral:RNase_P_RNA from 1 species